CCGAGAAGAGUUGCCCUUCGCCGGCGCCAAGAUCCUGUGCCCCUCUAAAGACCCCUCUCUCUCGCGACACCGCCUCCCUUACAAGGACGCCACGCCAUGGGUCUCCAUCGGUGCCACGACUGCCGCGGCCUCCCCACCUGCCGACGCUCUAGAUCCGGCCGUAGUUGAUUCCCUGUACAUCAUCUCAAGGAGGAGGGGCGUGAGGCGGUUGCCGCCGCCGGUGGCUGCACUUGUAGGUCUCCGCCGCUUGCUCCAACCAGAUCCAGCCAGACCGUCCUGUGGUGGUCCACGUGCAUCUGGACGGACGCAACGGCUUUGCCUCCCCUGUCCCAUGUCUUCGUCCACCACACCAUCCCAUUGCGCUGCUGCUACCCGGGCUCACAUGACCCCGUGGAGGAAGGAGCUGCGCAAGGAAUCACUGCCAAAAGACUCGAGAUGAGUUUGGAGUGUCCUGGAUUCCAGGCCAUGUUCCGCAAGGACGAAGCAACGCGAGCUAGCCGAGGGUUCAGAUUGACGUUCGCUUUGAUUCUCGUUGAUUCAUUGUUUUGACCGACCCAAGCAGCGCCGGCGCUCACGGAGGAGAACCUGAUGUUCCUAGAGGCCUGGCGCGCGGUCGAUCACACUUACUACGACAAGUCCUCCAACGGGUGGAGCUGGUUCAGGUACCACAAGCACCCUCCAUGAAAAGCAGGUUCCAGCUGUGCAAAGUCUGCCUGCUACUGCUAUCCAUACUGCGCCAUAGCAAAAUAGCUUUGGAUCAGGACUAACCUCUAGCCAGGAAAGAACCUGAAUCCCAAGUCGACGGCCGCUGCGGUGCCCACGUCCGCGUCAUUAGUGCUGCUAAGGGGCGCUUCACCCUGUUCGGCAUUAUCUUCUAUUCUUCCUACGGCUGCAAGAACCCUCACCUUGGCUAUGGCAGAUGCGACAGAUAAAGCAGGAGUUUCAGAAAAAAAAUGCACUGGAUUGUGCUGGCUGGGGUGGUCUGGCUGGAUUUGGAAAGAAAGAAACAUAUAUAUUGGAGAUGCAUGCGUUUAGAUUUUUUUUUUGCCAUGAGUUCAAUAGUCUCUGUUAAAUCACAGUAAUUUUGUUGCUCUGGUGAGCAGGUUUUCUUAUACAUAUAUUUAUUUUGAAAAUUCAUAGAUGGAUGAAAUGCUGCUGAGACGUUACAAGAUAUUCCAGCAGAGGCAUCCUUACCGUCCGCAUUACAAGGAUAUGAGAACAUUGGGGUCCUGAAGGCAGUGACCUGUUUACCAUACACAUAUUUACUUCCUUUCUAGGGUGGAACAAUGGAAGGCACAAUUCCAAAUUUCCAAGUACAACUCUUCAAGAACAGGAUCUCUGAAGGAACAACAAUUUACAAGCUUGGCGCUUACCAGGUUCAAUAUGCUAGGGAAAGAUACAAAACUGUAGAUCGUCCAUGGAGAGUAGUGUUUGCCCAAAAAACUACCGUGGAACCAAUUGUGCCUCAGCCACCAAACUUUCCCAAGUAUGGAUAUACCACCUACAAUGUACACAGUACCAAAGCUGCAUUAAACAAAUUGUUUUGUUGUCAGUUACCAGCAUCGCAAGAAUAUUUGCGCCGAGCGGCGGAUCGAUUGACCAGAUAUGAGAAAAUCACAUCACAAAUAAUGCCCGCCGUUGUGAUGUUUUGGGGAAAAUUAGCAGAUGCCCUUGAUGCAGACAAGCUACAACGGUGGUCUGCUCAAGAACCCAUUAUAGUUCUAUUUGUUGGCAUGCCAGUACAUGAAUUUAAUGAAACUUGACCUUCAAGUCCUGUCUGGCAACUCGAUGGUACAUAAAUCCAACUAUUUCUGAAGCGGCAGCUAUUCUAGGAAGAUCUACUGCAAGAUCCCAUCAAAUUGAGAUAAGCACCGGCUCACAGGGUCAUCGCUAGGCAACAAAUACAACAAACACAUAAUUAUCAGCCGUUGGCCCUGGUGGAAUCAUGGACCAGUACUAUAAACUGGAAAUAAAGAGAACUGAAGUGUCCCCUUCCAUGGCGUUGGGGGGCCUUUCUCUGCCAGGCGCGGUGGCUCCUUGGUAGGAUGAUGCAGCUAGCUCGGCGGAGGCUAGGAGGCUCGUCGGCCGACAUUUCGUUGAUGCAUGGGUGCCAUAUUGCGAUGGAACGGCAGUAUAAUAUACAAAACUUUGACGAGGCUCACCUGCUUCAAAAUUUCACAAUAAGUCCAAUCAAGACAACUUGCAACUUUGGCGUUGUCACAUUGGAGUCCGUGCUCAGCAGCAAUGGGAGACUGUCGUUGAUGCCCGACCCAUGAUGCCGACGAAGGAACGGGAGUCGAUGAGGAGUAGACGCCAUGGGUUUGUGAACUGGCCAAGCCACCGUUGUCCGUUUGGUAAUGUGACUUGCCCUGAUUUUGACGUCGUCUACCAACAUCCGACGAAGGGAACCCGUCCCGGUUUCCAUCUUGAUGGUCAGCCAUGUUUACUAAAAUAUAUAAUUUCUAAAACAUUUCCAGCAAUAUGUGAGUUGUUUGCUUGCUCAACCUUACGCUAGGAUCGUUUCUACAUACUACAAAUAGAGGGAAGUUGGCUUGUGCCUUACUAGAGACAGAUGAACCAAUAAAAUGAUUGGAAAGGCUCUUUCCAAGCAUAAGAGGAGCUUUUGAAGGGACUAAAGAACCGGAACCUCCCCUCCUCCCUCCCGCGACGCUCCCGCAAGCGUCCGGGGGGCAACCCUAGCACCACCGCCGGUCCCCCCUCCUCCUCUCCCUCCCCCCUCGCGGUCGCUGGCGGUGGCGGGGCCUUCUCGUCUCCGCGCGUGGGGGUUUCUGUGAGGGCCGGACGCCUCUGGCCGGAUGCGGCGCUUGGCGCUGGCCGUGGCAGCUCGGCAGCGCGCCGACGUGGGCUGUCAGCGGCGCAUGCCAGCGAUGCGAUGGGCAGUGCGGUGGUGGUGCAGGCUGGAGGCUGGUGGUGGCGGUGGCGCGCCCAGAUCCGCCUCUGGCGCCGCGAGUUGCGGGCGACCUGGGUCACGGUCGGCCUUCCCUACCAUGGCUCGUGGGCCGGGGGGGGGGGGGGCAGCGGGUGGAUGCGUGUGCCGUUGCCCGUCCGGGCCCUUGCGGCAGGUCGACGUCGCACGGCGUUGGAGACUCCUCUGGUGGCCAUCCAUGGAUGCGGCGACGGGCUCUGCUUCCUCAUUAGAUUAAAUUUUGGUAUUACAUUUUUUAGCACUUCAUGUGAAUGUUCUAUAGUCUCUAUUUUGCAGGCGGGUCUACUCUCCCUCUUGAGGCGAGUGUGGAUGUAAUGGAUAUUGAUUGUGGUUGUUCGGACAAAAAUAUUGCGUGGAAACAUUAUAUACUGAUGGGUACUAUAUUGCUAGAUUGUGGUGUUUUCAAGGGAGAGCGAGGCAACUGCAAUCAUGAAACUGAAGAAGUCGAAACCCGGGGCGAAGUUGGCCAACAUGAAAGCUGACAAACCUAAAUGCCGGUGAUAGGUUGUUCGCCGCUGUCACGCCGUCUUUGAACUUGGUGGAGACGCAGAAGCAGUGGCGGAGCUAGGAUCAAGCCACGACCCGGGCAAGCCCCAGGCCAAUCACUUGGUACAGUGCUAAACAGUGUAAAAUCCACUACAGUAAAUGAAGGAGCCAAGCCACAGGACCUAGGCCGCCGCCCGGGCAGCCUGGGGCUUGUCUCCGCCACUGCGCAGAAGGAGAACGGUGGCGCCGUGAAGACCUUGACGACUGCUGCCAUGACCACAACCAUGAUGAUUGUGUUGGUAAUAAAGAUACCAAUUAUAUACAAAUCCCCCAGCUUCGAAAACAUUAGAUUAUCCAACUUAUUAUUCAAAUUCUUGAUUCAAGAUAAAUGGAAAUUUCCUAUAUACAAUGAGC